GGAGGGUUGGCUGAGCGGUCGAAAGCAUCGGUCUUGAAAACCGACGAGGGUGCGAGCCCUCCCAGGGUUCGAAUCCCUGGCCCUCCACCA
rnacentral:tRNA from 1 species